GAUGACAAACCUUGGAGAGAAGUUAACAGAUGAAGAGGUUGAUGAAAUGAUCAGGGAAGCAGAUAUUGAUGGUGAUGGUCAAGUAAACUAUGAAGAGUUUGUACAAAUGAUGACAGCAAAGUGAAGACGUUGUACAGAAUGUGUUAAAUUUCUUGUACAAAAUUGUUUAUUUGCCUUUUCUUUGUUUGUAACUUAUCUGUAAAAGGUUUCUCCCUACUGUCAAAAAAAUAUGCAUGUAUAGUAAUUAGGACUUCAUUCCUCCAUGUUUUCUUCCCUUAUCUUACUGUCAUUGUCCUGAAACCUUAUUUUAGAAAAU